rnacentral:rRNA from 1 species
AUUGAACGCUGGCGGCACGCCUAACACAUGCAAGCCGAGCGGCAGCGAGACUAGUAGCAAUACUAGUUGUCGGCGAGCGGCGGACGGGUGAGUAACACGUAGGAAUCUGCCCUUAAGCGGGGGAUAACCAAGGGAAACUUUGGCUAAUACCGCAUAAUCUCGAGAGAGCAAAGCUGCCCGCAAGGGUGGCACUUGAGGAGGAGCCUGCGUCCGAUUAGCUAGUUGGUGGGGUAAUGGCCUACCAAGGCGAUGAUCGGUAACUGGUCUGAGAGGGCGACCAGUCAACCGGGGACUGAGACACGGCCCAGACUCCUCCGGGGGGCAGCAGUGGGGAAUAUUGGACAAUGGGGGCAACCCUGAUCCAGCGAUGCCGCGUGAGUGAAGAAGGCCUUCGGGUCGUAAAGCUCUUUAGGUUGGGAAGAAGAGUGAUGGAGGAAAUGCUAUCACUUUGACGGUACCGACAGAAUAAGCACCGGCAAACUCUGUGCCAGCAGCCGCCGUAAAAC